AGAGCGAACGCUGGCGGCAUGCUUAACACAUGCAAGUCGCACGGGCGGGGGCAACUCUGUCAGUGGCGGACGGGUGAGUAACGCGUAGGUAUCUAUCCUUGGGUGGGGGACAACUGUGGGAAACUACAGCUAAUACCGCAUGAUGACUGAGGUCCAAAGCCCGUGAGGGUGCCUGGGGAGGAGCCUGCGUACGAUUAGCUUGUUGGUGGGGUAAAGGCCUACCAAGGCUGUGAUCGUUAGCUGGUCUGAGAGGAUGAUCAGCCACAUUGGGACUGAGACACGGCCCAAACUCCUACGGGAGGCAGCAGUGGGGAAUAUUGGACAAUGGGCGCAAGCCUGAUCCAGCAAUGCCGCGUGUGUGAAGAAGGUCUUCGGAUUGUAAAGCACUUUCGACGGGGACGAUGAUGACGGUACCGUAGAAGAGCCCGGCUAACUUCGUGCCAGCAGCCGC
rnacentral:rRNA from 1 species